rnacentral:rRNA from 1 species
GUGUCAGCCGCCGCGGUAAUACGUAGGGGCCGAGCGUUGUCCGGAGUUACUGGGCGUAAAGCGCGCGCAGGCGGCUCGUCAAGCCUGACGUGAAAGCCCCCGGCUCAACCGGGGAGGGUCGUCGGGGACUGGCGAGCUUGAGGUCGGCAGGGGUUGGUGGAAUUCCCGGUGUAGUGGUGAAAUGCGUAGAGAUCGGGAGGAACACCCGUGGCGAAGGCGGCCAACUGGGCCGGACCUGACGCUGAGGCGCGAAGGCGUGGGGAGCGAACGGGAUUAGAUACCCCGGUAGUCCACGCAGUAAACGAUGCAGACUAGGCGUGGGGGGACUUGACCCCCUCCGUGCCGCAGCCAACGCGUGAAGUCUGCCGCCUGGGGAGUACGGCCGCAAGGCUAAA